CUGAGUAACGCGUGAGUAACACACCCUUCGGUGGGGUAUAGCCUCGGGAAACUGAGGGUAAUCCCGCAUACGAUCCCAGUGCCUUGGUGUCGGGAUGAAAGCCUUCGGGCGCCGGAGGAGUGGCUCGCGUCCUAUCAGGUAGUUGGUGAGGUAACGGCUCACCAAGCCGAUGACGGGUAGCUGGUCUUAGAGGACGAUCAGCCAGAGGGGGACUGAGACACGGCCCCCACUCCUACGGGAGGCAGCAGCAGGGAAUUUUGGGCAAUGGACGAAAGUCUGACCCAGCGACGUCGCGUGGGGGAUGAAGGUUCUAGGACUGUAAACCCCUUUUCCGAGGGAAGAGGAAGGACGGUACCUCG
rnacentral:rRNA from 1 species